UACGUAGGGGGCAAGCGUUGUCCGGAAUUAUUGGGCGUAAAGAGCUCGUAGGCGGUCUGUCGCGUCUGCUGUGAAAACUCAGGGCUUAACCCUGAGCUUGCAGUGGGUACGGGCAGACUAGAGUGCGGUAGGGGAGACUGGAAUUCCUGGUGUAGCGGUGAAAUGCGCAGAUAAUCAGGAGGAACACCGGUGGCGAAGGCGGGUCUCUGGGCCGUAACUGACGCUGAGGAGCGAAAGCAUGGGGGAGCGAACAGG
rnacentral:rRNA from 1 species